GUAGGUGAACCUGCGGAAGGAUCAUUACCGAGAGAGGGGCUCCGUGCUCCGGGGGGCUUCGGCCUCCGACUCUUCACCCUAUGUCUACCUACCUUUGUUGCUUUGGCGGACCCACGUCAUCUCCAGGCUUCACGGCCGGGGUUGGUGUGCGCCCGUCGGAGGCCCAUUAUCUUCUGUUUAUCAGUGACGUCCGAGUAAAAAGCGCAAAUGAUUAAAACUUUCAACAACGGAUCUCUUGGUUCUG
rnacentral:misc_RNA from 1 species